GGGGGGGGAAACAACAGUCAGUUCACUUGCAGUGAUGAUAGCAAGAUAAUCCGCAUAGCAUAUUAGCAAAAGACUGAAUUAUUGUAUAUUUUUUUAUUUUUCAAUAGCAUCUAAAAACAGUCUGUGUUCUCCAUCAAAUGUCACUUUAUUAACUCUCUCUAGCUGUUACAGUCAUCCUGACCAGAUCUAAUACCACAUUGGUGCACACUUAUUAGUGAAUAUCACCUGACGAACUAAAGGGCUUUCAUAUUGCAAUGACUAUAAUCAAAACAAAAUCACUUACACCUUGCUCCUACAAAAUUUAAUGUCUAUUUCAUUAUUUCAUGCCUGUAGUCUAGGGGUGGCAAAAAUACCCACCCAGUACGAACCUGGACCACACCCGGGCAUUGUGGGUUGGGUAUUACCCGGCUCGGGUAUGAAGCUGGGCCGGUCUUGACAUCACUUGAUAAACCCAGAACCCAGAUUUUAUUAAAAAAAUUAUUAUAAAAUAUAUUAUUUUAAAUAUUUAUAUUUAUUUGACUCAUUUAUUACACAUAUAUAAAGUUUUAAACACUUAAAAUUUAUAUUUUCAUGUCAAAUUUUAUUGAAAUAAAUUUAAAACUUAUAAAAUUACCAAAAAAAAAUAUUCACAUAUAAUAUUAAAAAAUAUAAAAUCCGGGUACCCGGAUUAAAGCAAAAAGCCCGACCCGAGCAUCUAAAAAUAUCCGGGCCAGGUCUGGGCAUUGCAAUACCCGGACCCAAAAAGCCCGACCCGAGCAUCUAAAAAUAUCCGGGCCAGGUCUGGGCAUUGCAAUACCCGGACCCGAGUUUUGCCAACCCUACUAUAGUCCUUUUCCUUACGAAGGAAAAAAGAUAAAAAUUAGUUACUCCCUAAGGUUGAAAAAUUCAGAAACCUAUGACAUUUUCUCAAAUAAAUGUAACCAAAAUGGAGCCAAAUAACUGUAAGCAUAAUAGGGUUGAAAAUCAGAGCAGAACAAUCCAGUGAGAUAAUUAUAUAGAACGGGUAAACUUUGAUUUACCCCCCACUUAGAAUGACAAUCUUUAAUUUACACCCAGGGUUUAAAACAUCAAUUUAUCCCCAUUUACUGUUGACAAGACAAAAAUAAAGUUAAUAAUCACACCGCCCAUUAGCCUGCAUCUUUCCAACAAAAAUGGGGGUAAAUUGAUAUUUUCACUCUUUUGGGGGAUAAGUUGAAGAUUAUCAUUCUUAUUGGGGGCUAAAAAGAAAUUUAUCCUUAUAGAAAUGUUGAAACUUUAAAGGCACCAAUUGAAGUUAUAAGGUUAGCAGACAAGACCUCA
rnacentral:lncRNA from 1 species